rnacentral:rRNA from 1 species
AUACGGAGGGGGCUAGCGUUGUUCGGAAUUACUGGGCGUAAAGCGCGCGUAGGCGGCCUGUCAAGUUGGGUGUGAAAGCCCGGGGCUCAACCCCGGAAUUGCAUUCAAAACUGGCAAGCUAGAGACCGAGAGAGGUGAGUGGAAUUUCCAGUGUAGAGGUGAAAUUCGUAGAUAUUGGAAAGAACACCAGUGGCGAAGGCGGCUCACUGGCUCGGUACUGACGCUGAGGUGCGAAAGCGUGGGGAGCAAACAGGAUUAGAAACCCCAGUAGUCC